UACGGGAGGCAGCAGUGGGGAAUAUUGCACAAUGGGCGCAAGCCUGAUGCAGCCAUGCCGCGUGUAUGAAGAAGGCCUUCGGGUUGUAAAGUACUUUCAGCGAGGAGGAAGGCAUUAAGGUUAAUAACCUUAGUGAUUGACGUUACUCGCAGAAGAAGCACCGGCUAACUCCGUGCCAGCAGCCGCGGUAAUACGGAGGGUGCAAGCGUUAAUCGGAAUUACUGGGCGUAAAGCGCACGCAGGCGGUCUGUCAAGUCGGAUGUGAAAUCCCCGGGCUCAACCUGGGAACUGCAUCCGAAACUGGCAGGCUAGAGUCUUGUAGAGGGGGUAGAAUUCCAGGUGUAGCGGUGAAAUGCGUAGAGAUCUGGAGGAAUACCGGUGGCGAAGGCGGGCCCCUGGGACAAAGCUGACGCUCAGGGUGCGAAAGCGUGGGGAGCAAACGAGGAUUAGGAUAACC
rnacentral:rRNA from 1 species